rnacentral:rRNA from 1 species
UACGUAGGGUGCAAGCGUUGUCCGGAAUCAUUGGGCGUAAAGGGCGCGUAGGUGGCCUGCUAAGCGUGCGGUGAAAGUCGGGGGCUCAACCCCCGAUCGGCCGUGCGAACUGGGAGGCUUGAGCACUGUAGAGGCAGGCGGAAUUCCGGGUGUAGCGGUGGAAUGCGUAGAGAUCCGGAAGAACACCGGUGGCGAAGGCGGCCUGCUGGGCAGUUUUGCUGACACUGAGGCGCGACAGCGUGGGGAGCAAACAGG